UUGCUAUCUAAUCAAUCCUCUAAACUUGAAGGAUUAGGGAGUAGCUAAUUCUAAUUCUCUGUGGGAGAGAAGCUCUAAACCCUAACUUUGAUGGCUACCUCUGAAUAAUGAUUUCUCCUCUUCUCCUCUCUCCUCCAGGGGUGGAGAGGCCUUUCAAGUGAAUUUGGGCCGUUGGAUCAAACCGACAUUGAUUGUAUGGUUUAGAUUGAUCCUUUAGGUCGGUGGAGCGUAGUCCCGAAAGAGAGUCCUGAUUGGACUCCAACCCUGGGCGGACGCCCAAGGGGGGUGGGCGGCCGCCCUGCCCCCGAGCCCG
rnacentral:lncRNA from 1 species